rnacentral:lncRNA from 1 species
AUGCGUAUGGCAUGAGCGCAGCACGCUGGCUAGGUCGGGUGCAGCCACGCGGUCCGGCGGUGACUCCACAUGAAAUAAGGCCUGUAUAUAUGCUCACUAACUAAUCAAAACUAGCGAAAUCUGUGUGUGUGAAUGUGAUGCUAAAAAUCAACAAAUUUAUAGUGCCAAAGGUGAUGAUGCCACUUGUAUCCAUAUCGAAGAAGCUUGGGUGAUGACUAUUCCACUUUCUUCCCUAAACCAUUAUUAUGUAUUCACUUCUUACCAAUAGAUGGGAUUUGGGUUUGGAAUCAUUGAUUUAGAUAGGAGAUAUUUAGAAUUCAAAAUUUUUGAGUUAUUGAAAUUCGGGUUCAAGUAAUUUUAGAUUUAGAGUUGUAUUAAGUUUGGG